rnacentral:lncRNA from 1 species
GAGCACGGGAGCAGUACUGGCGCUGCCAGGAGCAGGAAGAGGUUCAGCUGGCGGAACAGCUGGGCGCCGCGAGCCGGGGGCUGCUCUCCACGCCCCGAGAAGACUCGGGGCUGCGGCAGACAGAGAGGAGUGGGAGCAGGAGGCGAAGGUGAUGCUGGGCCUGCAGCAAGUCCUGCAGAGUUUAGGGCAGGCUGCAGAAAAGCUCAGGCAAGCGGUAGGCCGGCUACGGGGCCAGGAGGAGGAGAUGCGGCUACAGGGCAGCAGGGAUCAACGCCCACAGGUCUGGAGCCGCUCCAGGAAGGUGAGACUGGGAGGCUGCCCAGGGGAUCACGUGAGACAGCACGUUCACCCCUGACAUCAGACGUGGCUCUUGAACGGGUGGGCUGGGAGGGAAGCAGGGAGAAAGAGAAAGACUCUCCCUUCUACUCAGGGCACUUCACUUCCUGUGUCCUAGGUGGUCCAGCACCUCUCUGAUGAGCUGCAGGAGGUGGUGAGGGAGAGGCAGAGUGCCCUGGAUAGGGCCCUUGGUCAGCUGCAGUACCAGCGGGAGCUGAGCCGCCUCCAGCUCUUGCACAUCCAGGUACUGACCUCUGGCCUUGGCCAAGGAGAUGUGUGUGUCCAACUUUUGUUGGAGGCUCCCCAACAGAGAGAAGCUCCAGAGAAACCACGUGGAACCACGCACAGGACUAACUUCUGAUUGUUUCAUCCUAGAUUGUUGCCU